rnacentral:lncRNA from 1 species
GAAUUAACUAAAUAAAAGACAAUUAUUUUAUUAAAAAAUAUUUUAUCUGUAUAAGAAAAUUAGUUAGGCAUACUUAAAUCGAGAGCAAUAAAAUAAAUAAAAUCAACCACAAAAAAGUUCGAACGACAUUGCUGCUACUCUUUCUCUUCUGCUUCUUUUUUCUGCAUCUCGCUAGACAUACUUAAAUCGAGAGCAAUGAAGUAAAUAGAACCAACCAUGAAAAGGUUGGAACGACAUUGCUACUACUCUUUCUCUUCUGCUUCUUUUUUCUGCAUCUCUCGGCCUGUAUCUCAAUUAUGCAGCUUGCUUGUCUUUUUAUAAUACACAUGACAGCCUAUUAAGCUUAUAUUCUUCGUUGAUUUCUGAUUACAAUUUUGUAAGCCAAGCCACUGACUUUAAGUUGUAAAAGGCUCAAACCCUUUUUUUUUUUAAUUCUCUGUUUCCUCUUCUUCACGUGGCAAUAAUGGUAAGAGAUAAUGCUUUAAUUGGAAAAUAUUAAUCUCCGAAUCUUCAAUUCUGGAUCUUUUAUGCACCUUUGUUUUCCAAUCUUCAAUUAUUUCCCGGUUCAUAAAUAAUUUAAUUAAUUAAAAAUAACAGAUAAAAAUAGUUAAUAAAUAUAUCAUUAAUGGUAAAAUAUGUAUAUAUUAUAUGCUCUGUCAUCUACAAAUGUGAGAAAAAAAAUUUCUGAUUGGGAAAACAAAAUGAAAUAGAUACGGAGCUUAAAAGCUAAUAUAUAUAUAACGGAGAUUUGAGGAACCGAACCUGGCAAGAAGCCUCACGACACUCAAUUUUCGCCCAUGAAUGCAGCGAACAAUAGCAUCUAAGAGAAUAAGCCGGUGAGAGUUAUAUCUACUAGGUAUAUUUGAAAACUUCCAUUCCUAUGGGAUACCUACAGCAUGAUUUGAAUCAAAAGUCCCUUUAAUCCACAAAUAUCCUCUCAAAUAGGAAUGGUAAAAAUCCCUACGGGGACGGGUAUCUUUAGGGAUUUUUUCUAUUUGGAGAGGAUAUGAGGAUAAUUUUAUACCUAGUUUUUUAUUCGAAGAAGAGAUGUGGAAAUUUUUUUACUCAAUUUCUUAUUCGGGGAGAGAUCGGGGAUGAGGUAGCAUCUCCAUCCCCUAUCCAUUUCCCCAUUUUAAUUUUAAAUUUUAUUUUUACUUUUUUAAAAUUAGUAGUAAAUAAAUAAUAAAAUUUGAAUUAUAAAAUUAUAAAUAUUGGUAAAAAUAACAAAUAUCAAAAUAUUUAUAUUAUUAAAUUUUUAGGCCUAAUUAACUAAUUAAAGUCUUAAAUUUUUAUUUAGCACAUUAAAAAAACCGGAUAAAUUCUAUUAGCCCAAAAAUUUUGUUUUAAUUUUAAUAUUCAUUAAAUGUUUUAAACUUAAAUCUAUUUUUAUUUAUUUUUAGAUGUUAUAAUUGCCCACAGCGAAUCACAAUUUUAAUAUCUAAUCUAAUCUAAUCUAAUCUAAUCUAAUUUAAUCUAAUAUUUGCUCUUGAUUUACCCCGACUUAACUAUUGUGCUGUAAAGGGAAUAAUCCACAUUUAUAAAGUGUCCACGCCACCAUUGAAAAAAUUAAUUUUGAAUCUAAAUUCAAUUUUAUUUGUAACAAUUUUAUAUUAGACUAUUAAUUUAUUCACAAUAGUUUAUAAAAGAAGUUUGUAUCCCUUACAUGUUGUGUUACUUACUAAUUUAAUGUAUGUGACUUUUGUAAUGGAUAUUAAUGUAAGAUAUAUUUCAAACUUUACUUUUAUUUGAAUUUUUUAUUUUAACAUGAUUAACUCAAAAUCGAAAACAAAAAAUAUAUUAGUUAUUCGGAGAUCGGGAACCCUCGGAGAUCCCCUAUUAUUAUUCGGGGAGGAGAUGGAGAUUCUCUCAAGUAAUUACGACUGAGACGGGGAGGGAACGGGGACAUACGCAAAAUAUUAGGGAUGUGUACGGAGAGAUUGGUUCCCUCCCCUCCUCUCCCCAUUGCCAUCCCUACUCUCAAUUCAGCCUCCACAAUCAACCCACGAACUCCUCCAGCAUGGAAAUAGAAUAGCUUAGUAUAGAAAUAUAUCAAACCCACUCUUAAUAAAUGUACAAUAGCAAUUAAUGACCUGAGACAACUCAAAUGCAAGCAUCAACUAUCAUGAGUAAACCAUUCUUAUUUCAUAGAAAAUGGUCAAAAUGCAAUACAAUGGACAAAACACAUGCAUGCAGACGUACACGCACAAGAGUGAACAUCGUAAAGUGGUGCUUUUUCAAUUACAGUCUAAAUUCGAAACACGGUUUAACUUAUUUUUGAGUCUGGAGGAUUCAGAUUAUUUCAACUUUUUAUUAUUUAUUAGUUGUAUAGGGAACUUUUUGAAUUCCCAGUAGCAAGGGACUUCAGUAACGAAAAUGCCUUCAACACUGCCCAAUAUACUUUCCAAAGAUUUUUACGAGUACAUUUUAUUAAUAUAGAAGUACGUUUCUUUGGUCAGCAUAGGAAGACUGGAAACUUUCAAAAUUGGUUUCUACCUGCACUUAUAGUGCCAUUUGAAAAAUUCAGAAACCAAUCAACAGAAAGUUAGCUCAAAUUGAUAACCGAUGGUGUAAUUAAGUUGGCGCAAAUUCAUAUGAUUGAUAUCAAUGUAACAGAAAAAGAAUGAAUUCAAAAUGUUGGGGCUUCUCAUUCGGAGAGGAAAAUGGUACGAAAAUUCCUCUGAAUUGUUUACAGCAGUCUUAUUUGUAAACUUUGUAUAAUUCUAAUGUGAAUUUUGCUAAAAAGAAAUAUCGAAUCUAUGGUGAAGUAUGAAUUUGAACAUUUGCAAGAAGCCGGGUGAGUUUGCUUAGGGUUUCACGAGCAGCUAUGGUGUCUGGAUGAUCCUCACCAGAAAUUGAAGUUCUAAUAAAAACAGCCUUCCUAAUUAGAUCAUCCCCUAUGUCAAAUUGCCCUCCUCUUAGCAUUAACUUGGCCCUAGUUUCAAGGACUGUGGCUCUUGUUAGAGCUAAUUCCUGCCAGAGGGUUGGAUUCAACUGAGCAUUAGUCUGGACGGGCCGCCAACAAAGUGAUUUGUCCAACAAUUUUUCAACUGGGGUAACUAAUGCAUGGUCCGCUGCUUCCAGAGCAUUGGUGCAUAGACGCAGGAGUUCUAAAGCAGCACUACACCGAGAAAACGUAAUGAAUGUCCUGAUUGCAACAGGCAAAACCACCUCUUUAACAAGGUAUAACAACUCUGACACUUUGAGCUCGACAACUUUUAGGUCAUUACCAAACCCAAAUAGCAAGAAACAUGCUGUCCAUAUAUGUCCUGAAUGAUGGGUUAUAGAUCCACGGCUGAUGACAGCUUGAACCAUGGCAUGAGCAACACCAGUAACUCCUCUUUUGCGAGCAUAAAGCUUCACAAGAUCGUUGAAAUGGAUGUACCCUUGCCUGGUACUACUUCUGGCAAUGUUGAAUCUCAACAACAUGGAAGAUGCUUCCGCUUCUGAUCUCUUGGUGUAUGAGGAAGUAAAUCCACAAGUUAAAGACAGUAAUAAUUUCCUCCACAAGUGGGUACCCUUGUGCUUCUCAGGUAUCUUGUGAGCAGCAAGGGCUAAUAGGGAAACCGGAAUAGCAGCCGGUGCAAACCACCCACCAGCAAGCACCAUUCUAGUUGCCAGGCUCCUCGGCCCAUCUGCAUGAUCAAAUAUUGAGAAACAAACCUCGAAGAGUUGAAAUAGGAAAGUGUUUCUUCUCAAUGAAUGAGAUUCCCUACCAUUCCAAGACAAGUCCCUCAAGGAACCCUCGGAGAUCCCCUAUUAUUAUUCGGGGAGGAGAUGGAGAUUCUCUCAAGUAAUUACGACUGAGACGGGGAGGGAACGGGGACAUACGCAAAAUAUUAGGGAUGUGUACGGAGAGAUUGGUUCCCUCCCCUCCUCUCCCCAUUGCCAUCCCUACUCUCAAUUCAGCCUCCACAAUCAAC